GCAGAACCUUGCUGGUAAUCUCACUUCCUGGUAUAACAUAACCAACAGCCUGAUGUCCUGAACCUAAAGCAUCGAAUGGAGAGCAAAAGGAAGCACCAGAAGGAGAAGUCAAACCAUUUGUACUGUAGGAAGAAGAGAAGGCAACCAUAUCAUCAACUGCCCUAUUCAUGUCUGCGUCCCUCCAUGCCCAUGAGCUAUCAUCCGAGCUAAGAGAGGGAGGACGUGAAAAAUUAGUACCAAGAUGAUCAGAAGGAUUCCAAUACA
rnacentral:misc_RNA from 1 species